ACCAGCAUUUUCAAAAUGCUGACAUGCCGAGCUCAAAAGGUUCGCCAUCACUGACCUAUAGUCUUCUUUUCUGAACUCCUGAACUGAGACAUUACUCCUUUCUGAUCACCACAGCUGUGCUUCCUCUCCUCUCACUCUCUCACUGCUAUUUAUUUAAAUUGCGUGCUUCUCUAGCCAUUUCCAUGACCUCAGUUGUGCUCCCAGCUUUGCAGCCUUCUCCUGGACUUCUUCCUCUCCCCAGCUUGAACCUGUGGCCCAUCAUUGAUAUUUUUAUCAGCAUCCUGAAAUUUCUCAUCCCCUCCUAUUGCUGAAACUUCUCCAUUUGCUGCAUCAACCUAUUUUUUGCUCCUUCUCCCUGGGCUGCUAAACAUGGGAGAUCCAUAGUUGACAGCCUCAGUUGAUUUGACAUUAUUAUUCUGCUUUCAGUCCAUGACAUUCAUCUUUGCUCUCAGCCAAUGACUGACCUCUUUGCCCAUUUCACAGGAGAGAGGCCCGAAAGCAAGAAUGUCCUUGCCCCCUCAUUUUUCUCCCCCUCCCCUCUCUCUGUGUCUCUAUCCCUCCUCUUGCUCCUGUUUGGUGCUCUAGUUCUUGAAUCCUGUUCUGUGUCCUCCACAACUUUGCUCUAUUUCUUAUCCCACUGCUCCUCUUUCCAGCAUCUUCAACCUCCCUUUCCAUGGUUACCUCCACAUAGCCUCCCCAAGAUUAAAAACAAUUUCUUAAGAGUGUGUUGCUCCUUACACUUUUAUCUUGUCAGCCUCAUUCUUUUAAAAAUAAUCUUUUUCACUGAUUUUUCUCAGUCACUCUUCAUUCUCUAUAGUUUUUCAUAAAAGUCACCAGUGACCACCCAAGUUGCCAAAUUAAAAAAAAUACUUUCAGUUCUCAACUGUUGAAUCUGUACAGCAUUUCACACCACUCACCACUUUCUCAUUGAACAUCCUCUUCACUUGGCUUUUACGAUACCACAAGUCUCUGGAUUCUCCUCUUAUCUCUCAGCCACACAGGCUGAGCCUCCCUUGAAACCUUGACAGGGGGACACAUCUGUAACUUACUUUGGUCUCCUCUUCAGGAGUUGGGUAGGCAGGAGGAAGCCCAGCUGCUCUGCUCCCCUCCCUCUGUGUCAGCCUCUUUUCUUUGGCCUGUUUCUCCCCCUGGACCCAGUUCUCCUCAUGUCAAGCAUGUUUAUGAGCUCUGCUGGGAGGAUAGCAUCUGUGAGUCCUUCCAUCUGUCUCUUCCUACACAGCACAGAGACAGAUUUUAGCCAUGUUUGCUAAGAAGUCCAUCUAAAUCAGCCCAGGAGUGUGGCUUGGGCCUUACCAAGAAGCAGUUUGGUAAAUGGGAUCAUCAGGCUAUCAGACAGCUCAUCACCAUGAUCCCUGUACCAGUUAGAGCUUGCCACAAUUGGUGAGGAUCUUGGGAUCAUGGUAAACAUGUUUCCAUGCAUGGUUCAGUGCUGCUAGCCAGGAGGAGAAUCCUGGCAGUGGGUGUCUGCCCCUGAGAACAUUCUGAUGGAAGGAAAACUGAGAAGUGCUGUGAUUAAUUACUUGCUUGGGGCUCAGUUGGGGUCAGCCUAGCCUUCUCUAACCAGGUCUUUCCCAUCUGUACUGAUCAUGACCACCUGCUUGCUCCAGUUGCUAGAGCUGGAAGCAAAUUCGGGUGGUUUACGUGGAAGUAGGGAGGUAUAGUAAAGAGGUCUGAUUUGAGCUGGUGAACCGCUAAGUUUUGUCUGCCAAUUAUGAGCUGUGUGACCUUGGGUACAGUUUCCUCAUCUAUAAAGCUGCUCUGCUCCCCUCCCUCUGUGUCGGGCGAGUAUUAAAAACAGCAAUUUCUCAGAGGUUCACCAACUCUAAAGAUGGUAAUGGUGAUUCUAACUCUGAAGUUCAGGCCACACAGGGAACAAAGGAACAUUGGGAGUAGGACACAGGUGGGGAUUCUUGGCCAAGGCAGGGCAAAGGGACUUACAGGCCAAACUGAGCUGCUUUGAGGAAAGUCUUCAGUAGCUGGUGCUGCUUCUGGAGCUACAUGCCCAUUCCUCAAGCUGCACCCCUUUCUUGGAUAUCUAGGGAGAGUUCCUCCUGGGCCUUGUCUUAGAAGUGGCCAUUGGAAUCCAAAGUUUUGGUUGGGGGCAUGAGGGAGGGGAAGUGUUACUGAUCUUAAAAAGACCUAUACAUUCAAGAACAAAUUAAAAAAUAGCACUUUUCUUUACUAA